rnacentral:rRNA from 1 species
ACGCGAAGAACCUUACCAGGUCUUGACAUCCGGCUAACGAAGUAGAGAUACAUCAGGUGCCCUUCGGGGAAAGCCGAGACAGGUGGUGCAUGGUUGUCGUCAGCUCGUGUCGUGAGAUGUUGGGUUAAGUCCCGCAACGAGCGCAACCCUUGCUGUUAGUUGCUACGCAAGAGCACUCUAACAGGACUGCCGUUGACAAAACGGAGGAAGGUGGGGACGACGUCAAAUCAUCAUGCCCCUUAUGACCUGGGCUACACACGUACUACAAUGGCCGCAAACAAAGGGAAGCAAGACUGUGAAGUGGAGCGAAACCCGAAAAGCGGUCCCAGUUCGGAUUGCAGGCUGCAACCCGCCUGCAUGAAGUCGGAAUUGCUAGUAAUCGCGGAUCAGCAUGCCGCGGUGAA